rnacentral:rRNA from 1 species
UACGUAGGGGGCGAGCGUUGUCCGGAGUUACUGGGCGUAAAGCGCUUGUAGGCGGUCCACCAAGUUUGGGGUGACAGUUGCCGACUUAAUCGGCAAAGUGCCUCAAAGACUGGCGGACUUGAGGGCCACAGAGGGACAUGGAACUCCAGGUGUAGUGGUGAAAUGCGUAGAUAUCGGUUGGAACGCCAAUGGUGAAAACAACUUGCUGGGGGUGUGCUGACGCUGAGACACGAAAGCCAGGGGAGCAAACGGG